rnacentral:RNase_P_RNA from 2 species
UCAGUCGGUCGGGCAGCCGCGCCUGUACAAUGCUGAAAAGCGGCAGGUGAGGAAAGUCCGGGCUCCACGGAAAAACGGUGCCGGAUAACGUCCGGCGGGGGUGACCCUAGGGAAAGUGCCACAGAAAGCAAACCGCCUGUUUUACGGGUAAGGGUGAAAGGGUGGAGUAAGAGCCCACCGCUUAAUCAGUAAUGAUUAUGGCAAGGUAAACCCCACCGGGAGCAAGACCGAAUAGGAAUGACAUGCAAGUUUUCUUGCAGCCUGUUUCCAGGUCUGUCAUUCGGGUAGGUUGCACGAGGCGGAUGGUAACAUCCGUCCCAGAUGAAUGGUUGCCACGCGGCGUGGUUAUAAGACACGCCGCCAUACAGAACCCGGCUUACAGACCGACUGACAUU